UACGUAGGGUGCGAGCGUUAAUCGGAAUUACUGGGCGUAAAGCGUGCGCAGGCGGUUGGUUAAGUCUGAUGUGAAAGCCCCGAGCUCAACUUGGGAAUGGCAUUGGAAACUGGCUGGCUAGAGUGUGGCAGAGGGGGGUGGAAUUCCGCGUGUAGCAGUGAAAUGCGUAGAGAUGCGGAGGAACACCAGUGGCGAAGGCGGCUCACUGGUCCAUUACUGACGCUGAGGUGCGAAAGCGUGGGGAGCAAACAGG
rnacentral:rRNA from 1 species